UACCGCAAUCAUUGAAAAAACAGUAAUAAACAAAAAGUUUAGUACAUUAAUAUACUUUCGCUUUAUUCGGGGUUAAUUCGUUGCCACAUGUACAUUUAAUUCCAAAUUCAGCUACUGAUAUGAAGAAAGAUUCGAUUCACUUGUUGAAUAGAUGGCGAAGUUUGUAGAAGCUAAAUGGAAGGUUAAUGUAGGUCCAAUUCAUAUUAGCAUGGGAUAACAUUAUAGGAUUUAGAUCCUAUUACGUUGGCCUUUGGGAUCGAAGUAAUGAUUAACAGGGAUAGUCGGGGGCAUUCGUAUUUCAUAGUCAGAGGUAAAAUUCUUGAAAGACGAACAACUGCGAAAGCAUUUGCCAAGGAUGUUUUCAUUAAUUAAGAACAAAAGUUAGGGGCUCGAAGACAAUCAGAUACCGUCCUAGUCUCAACCAUAAACUAUGUCGAUCAGGGAUAGGCGGAUUUUGCUUUUAGGACUUCGCCGACACCUUAUGAGAAAUCAAAGUUUUUGAGUUCCGAGGGAGUAUGGCCGCAAGGCUGAAAAUUAUUAAGGGGUCAACU
rnacentral:ncRNA from 1 species